rnacentral:lncRNA from 1 species
AGGGGUGUAGCUCAGCGCACAAGGCUUGGAUUCGUUCCCGGGACCAUUUUUAAAACAACAGCAGCAGCGGCCGGGUUCUAGGGAGGUGGGGAGAGAGCAGGUGGCCGGAGCCCAAGCUGCUGGCUCGACAGACAGCUGUAACCACGGUCACGGGAGGGAGGGAGAGCCGCGUUGCUACCCAGGAGCAGCCCGGGCUCCCAGGGGCUCCCCCUCCACCGUGCGUCCUUCGUCUGCUCGGGGACGGCUGACUGCAGCUAAUUGAGGCGUUGGCUUCAUCUGCCAGGCUGGAGAUGUGCAUACAGCGACUCACGCUAGAGAUGAGCAAACAGGGCAGCCUCGGGAGAGAGCACGCUCUGAGGUACUAUGCAGCCCCGAAGAAGGAUAGGCUCAAGUCACGCAUAGCAAAACGGAUGCACCUUGAGGCCGCAGUGCUGACGGAAGUAAGUCAGCUGGGGUGACGGGCGCGUGUCCCACGCCCGCGUCCUGGUACCUUUGAGGGCUCUUCUUCAGUUCCCGCUUGGACUUCCGUGUUUGGCUGGGCUGACGGGGCUGACCUGUCAGUUCUACUGACCUCUCCAAAGAGC